CCUACGGGAGGCAGCAGUGGGGAAUAUUGGACAAUGGGCGAAAGCCUGAUCCAGCAAUGCCGCGUGUGUGAAGAAGGCCUUCGGGUUGUAAAGCACUUUAAGUUGGGAAGAAAAAGCUCUGGCUAAUAUCUAGAGCCUUGACGGUACCAACAGAAUAAGCACCGGCUAACUCUGUGCCAGCAGCCGCGGUAAUACAGAGGGUGCUAGCGUUAAUCGGAUUUACUGGGCGUAAAGCGUGCGUAGGCGGUUUGAUAAGUCGAUUGUGAAAGCCCCGGGCUUAACCUGGGAAUUGCAGUUGAUACUGUCAGACUAGAAAACGGUAGAGGGAGGCGGAACUCCAGGUGUAGCGGUGAAAUGCGUAGAUAUCUGGAAGAACACCGAUGGCGAAGGCAACCUCCUGGGCCUGUUUUGACGCUGAGGCACGAAAGCGUGGGUAGCAAACAGGAUUAGAUACCCUGGUAGUCCACGCCGUAAACGAUGAGACUUGACGUUGGUUGCUUAGCAAAUCGGUGUCGUAGCUAACGCGAAUAGUUCUCCGCCGUGGGGAGGUACGGCCGCGAGGUAGAACGUACGAAGAGUAGUAGCGCGNGAGAGCGACGACGACGACGACGGAGGAGGAGG
rnacentral:rRNA from 1 species